CCAAUAGCGUAUAUUAAAGUUGCUGCAGUUAAAAAGCUCGUAGUUGAAUUUCGGGACCAAUAUGUCGGUCGUGCUUCGGUACGUACUGUCAUUAUUGGUUUCUCCCUUCUGAAGAACCUUGAUGUCAUUAAUUUGGUGUCUUGGGGAAUCAGGACUGUUACUUUGAAAAAAUUAGAGUGUUUAAAGCAGGCUCGCGCUUGAAUACCUUAGCAUGGAAUAAUGAAAUAGGACGUUUGAUUCUAUUUUGUUGGUUUCUAGGAUCGACGUAAUGAUUAAUAGGGAUAGUUGGGGGCAUUAGUAUUCAAUUGUCAGAGGUGAAAUUAUUGGAUUUAUUGAAGACUAACUACUGCGAAAGCAUUUGCCAAGGAUGUUUUCAUUAAUCAAGAACGAAAGUUAGGGGAUCGAAGACGAUCAGAUACCGUCGUAGUCUUAACCAUAAACUAUGCCGACUAGGGAUCGGAUGAUGUUAAUUUUUUAAUGACUCAUUCGGCGCCUUACG
rnacentral:misc_RNA from 1 species